rnacentral:rRNA from 1 species
AUACGGAAGGUCCGGGCGUUAUCCGGAUUUAUUGGGUUUAAAGGGAGCGCAGGCGGAGAUGCAAGCGUGACGUCAAAUUUCGGGGCUCAACCCCGUCUCGCGUCGCGAACUGCGUCCCUUGGUUGCGGGAAGGGGAGGCGGAACUCGUGGUGUAGCGGUGACAUGCAUAGAUAUCACGAAGAACUCCGAUCGCGAAGGCAGCCUUCCGGCCCGUCAACGACGCUCAUGCUCGAAGGUGCGGGUAUCAAACAGGAUUAGAUACCCUGGUAGUCCGCACAGUAAACGAUGGACACCCGCGGUUUGGCCUGUAUGGCUGAGCCGCCAAGCGAAAGCGUUAAGUGUCCCACCUGGGGAGUACGCCGGCAACGGUGAAACUCAAAUGAAUCGACGGGG